CCCCCCCCCCACCUCCCCUUCUUGAGCUCUCGAGGAGGAAUAAGUGCUAUUUUCCAGGGACCUGCGGAAUCCGGCGCGACGCUGGACAUUGGAUCCUGGACGGGGUCAAGGUCGCAGCCCUCAUACGCAAGAUUGUUGCCAUUUUCCUGUGGUUUUGCACAGGAAGGGAGGGAUGCUGGCCCAGACCCCGGAAGAGAGGUGUUCUUGCAAACCAGGCCUCGGUAACAUCCACCUCGAGAGCUGCUGUCACAGACCGAGGUUUUGUCCUCUCAAUUAAUCCGGGACACGAUUUAAAAGGUUUGACAACUGAGCAUCAAAUCAAUCGCUAGCCUAAACAAACCCCUGCGAUUUUAAACGUAUUAUAACCCAUGGUAUGUUUGAACGUGUGCAUUUUUAAGUCAAAUAAAAAUGUAUACAGGCA